rnacentral:lncRNA from 1 species
GGAAGGGGACAGACUCCCCACGUGACUUCUGGGCCGGGCCGGGCGCGGGGCUGCCGGCUGGCUGACGCGGACAGAGGUGGAAAAGUCCCCGGAGAUGCCACGGGGCAGGCCGGGGCUGCCGGCCCCCGCUUCCCGGAGCGGCCCGAGCACUUCCCGGGCUCCCGGGAGGACUUAGAAAAUCACGGCGGGGUGGGGGGUGGGGGUCGCUGUCAAACCGAAACCAUGCACGUCAUCAGAGAAGGACCGUGACGACGGAGGAAUUGUCCGCAGUCUGUCAGGAAUUGUGUGCAGCCUGUCACUUCCGGCCCAGAGGGUCUUUCUAAGGCAGACGGACAGACAGAGCCCACAAGUCGUAGAGGAAAGGACCGAGCCGCUUGGCCGCGGAAAAGUUUACAACACAAAACGGCGGUGCACGUAUUUCCCUUCCAAAAAAGAAGAACGGGAAAGGAGAUGUUAAAGGAGGAGACUAGAAGUUAGAGAAAAGUAUCCUUUCG